UUUAUACGUCGAAUUUUGGUCGUGUCGAAUGCAAUUAAGACAAUAGAUAAUGAGAUGAUAAAUCUCAUUAAUUUAUAAGCUUCAUUAUCUAUUGUUUGAAUUGCAUUCGGCGCGACCGAAAUUCGACGUAUAAA
rnacentral:miRNA from 1 species